rnacentral:rRNA from 1 species
UACGAAGGGGGCUAGCGUUGUUCGGAUUUACUGGGCGUAAAGCGCACGUAGGCGGUUUGUUAAGUGAGAGGUGAAAUCCCAGAGCUCAACUCUGGAACUGCCUUUCAUACUGGCAAGCUAGAGUCCGGAAGAGGUAAGUGGAACUCCUAGUGUAGAGGUGGAAUUCGUAGAUAUUAGGAAGAACACCAGUGGCGAAGGCGGCUUACUGGUCCGGAACUGACGGCUGAGGUGCGAAAGCGUGGGGAGCAAACAGG